rnacentral:rRNA from 1 species
GAUGAACGCUGGCGGCGUGCUUAACACAUGCAAGUCGAACGAAGCACUUACAAUUGAUUCUUCGGAUGAGAGAGUUUGUGACUGAGUGGCGGACGGGUGAGUAACGCGUGGGUAACCUGCCUCAUACAGGGGGAUAACAGUUAGAAAUGACUGCUAAUACCGCAUAAGCGCACAGUAUCGCAUGAUACCGUGUGAAAAACUCCGGUGGUAUGAGAUGGACCCGCGUCUGAUUAGCUAGUUGGUGAGGUAACGGCUCACCAAGGCGACGAUCAGGAGCCGGCCUGAGAUGGUGAACGGCCACAUUGGGACUGAGACACCGCCCAAACUCCUACGGGAGGCAGCAGUGGGGAAUAUUGCACAAUGGGGGAAACCCUGAUGCAGCGACGCCGCAUGAGUGAAGAAGUAUUUCGGUAUGUAAAGCUCUAUCAGCAAGGAAGAUAGUGACGGUACUUGACUAAGAAGCCCCGGCUAACUACGUGCCAGCCGCCGCCGUAAUAC